AUGUGUGGGGGGUUAGGGAUUCAGACAAGGGGUAGGAGUACUUUUCCUUCUAUAACCCUUUCCGAGUCGAUUAGGGGGUGGCAGUCGACCUGGUUCUACUGCCAAGAUGUUCCGACUCCUGGUCAGUCGACUGGUCUUCCCCCCUUCACCAUGGAUCAAGUCCGCCAACCCACUUCAUUGACCGUGACUCUAGCAGAGAAAGGAGAGGUGUCGACGUUAGUUGACCGGAUAGUCCAAUUAGUCCAUGAUGGCGUGACUGGCAUGGAUUUGUUGGAGGUGUUUCUCAGUCGACGCUCUAGCCUCUCCAAGCCCGCGAUCAUCUGA
rnacentral:rRNA from 1 species